AGGAGUGGAGCCUGCGGCUUAAUUUGACUCAACACGGGGAAACUCACCAGGCCCAGACACUGGAAGGAUUGACAGAUUGAGAGCUCUUUCUUGAUUCAGUGGGUGGUGGUGCAUGGCCGUUCUUAGUUGGUGGAGUGAUUUGUCUGGUUAAUUCCGAUAACGAACGAGACUCUAGCCUGCUAAAUAGACGUUACACUUUCCAGUAUCUCGAAGGCUCACAUCUCACGUACCUUUUCUGCACAGCGCCGGUCAUUUCGGUGAUUGGUUGUUGUGUGGUAGGCGGGAGUUUGUGGUUUUUACUACUGGCGUACAUAUAAUUCUUCUUAGAGGGACAGGCGGCUUCUAGCCGCACGAGAUUGAGCAAUAACAGGUCUGUGAUGCCCUUAGAUGUUCUGGGCCG
rnacentral:rRNA from 1 species